rnacentral:sRNA from 11 species
GUCAGUAACCCAGCCCUAAAGGGACUGGGCUUGCAAGAGUAAUCAAGCAAGCCGUGCUGACCAGACCACCCUGAGUGACCUGCCCUGAGCGGUGUCGAAGGGAGUCGAAGGGUAGCCGUUAUUUGAGCCACGACACCCCGGAAUGCGUAGCCCCUUCGGGGUUCAGCAGUCGCUCAUGGGGGAAACCCCCAAGACCGCGCUGCUUCACUAGUUCCCUGCUCUGUC